rnacentral:misc_RNA from 1 species
GGAAGGAUCAUUAUCGUACAAUGGAGGUGCUGGGGUUGUCGCUGACUUUUGAAAGGGUCGUGCACACCUCGGUGCUCUCGCACAUAAUCCAUCUCACCCCUUUUGUGAAUCACCGCGUGGAAACCCCCUUUUGGUUAGUUCUGAGGGGGGUCUUUCACGUUUUUACCCAAACCCCCUUUUUAUGCA